rnacentral:rRNA from 1 species
UAGAGUUUGAUCCUGGCUCAGGAUGAACGCUGGCGGCGCGCCUAACACAUGCAAGUCGAACGGCACCCAUCUUCGGAUGGAAGCGAGUGGCGAACGGCUGAGUAACACGUGGAGAACCUGCCCCCUCCCCCGGGAUAGCCGCCCGAAAGGACGGGUAAUACCGGAUACCCCGGGGUGCCGCAUGGCACCCCGGCUAAAGCCCCGACGGGAGGGGAUGGCUCCGCGGCCCAUCAGGUAGACGGCGGGGUGACGGCCCACCGUGCCGACAACGGGUAGCCGGGUUGAGAGACCGACCGGCCAGAUUGGGACUGAGACACGGCCCAGACUCCUACGGGAGGCAGCAGUGGGGAAUCUUGCGCAAUGGGGGGAACCCUGACGCAGCGACGCCGCGUGCGGGACGGAGGCCUUCGGGUCGUAAACCGCUUUCAGCAGGGAAGAGUCAAGACUGUACCUGCAGAAGAAGCCCCGGCUAACUACGUGCCAGCAGCCGCGGUAAUACGUAGGGGGCGAGCGUUAUCCGGAUUCAUUGGGCGUAAAGCGCGCGUAGGCGGCCCGGCAGGCCGGGGGUCGAAGCGGGGGGCUCAACCCCCCGAAGCCCCCGGAACCUCCGCGGCUUAGGUCCGGUAGGGGAGGGUGGAACACCCGGUGUAGCGGUGGUAUGCGCAGAUAUCGGGUGGAACACCGGUGGCGAAGGCGGCCCUCUGGGCCGAGACCGACGCUGAGGCGCGAAAGCUGGGGGAGCGAACAGGAUUAGAUACCCUGGUAGUCCCAGCCGUAAACGAUGGACGCUAGGUGUGGGGGGACGAUCCCCCCGUGCCGCAGCCAACGCAUUAAGCGUCCCGCCUGGGGAGUACGGCCGCAAGGCUAAAACUCAAAGGAAUUGAC